AUUGAACGCUGGCGGCAGGCCUAACGCAUGCAAGUCGAACGGUAACAGGAAGAAGCUUGCUUCUUUGCUGACGAGUGGCGGACGGGUGAGUAAUGUCUGGGAAACUGCCUGAUGGAGGGGGAUAACUACUGGAAACGGUAGCUAAUACCGCAUAACGUCGCAAGACCAAAGAGGGGGACCUUCGGGCCUCUUGCCAUCGGAUGUGCCCAGAUGGGAUUAGCUAGUAGGUGGGGUAACGGCUCGCCUAGGCGACGAUCCCUAGCUGGUCUGAGAGGAUGACCAGCCACACUGGAACUGAGACACGGUCCAGACUCCUACGGGAGGCAGCAGUGGGGAAUAUUGCACAAUGGGCGCAAGCCUGAUGCAGCCAUGCCGCGUGUAUGAAGAAGGCCUUCGGGUUGUAAAGUACUUUCAGCGGGGAGGAAGGGAGUAAAGUUAAUACCUUUACUCAUUGACGUUACCCGCAGAAGAAGCACCGGCUAACUCCGUG
rnacentral:rRNA from 1 species